rnacentral:misc_RNA from 1 species
GUUUUGAGUGGUGUAUCAUUGCUGUCCUUUCAAGCUGCAAGGGUUCCCAAGGACAAAGAACAUCCUUAUGGACAUGGUAAAUUUGAGACUCUUGGAGCUCUUGGAAUUUCUGGUGUGCUAUUGGCUACUGCUGGUGGCAUAGGAUGGCAUGCUUUAGAUGUUUUGCUGGGAUUGUGGUCUGCAGCGCCUGAAGUUUUUAAUCAGUCAAUGACUCAUCAGCAUGUGCAUGAGCAACAUCACCAUGGAAUUGAUAUGGAUCACCCUAUCCUUGCUUUGAGUGUGACGAUACUCUCUAUAGGUGUUAAAGAAGGAUUAUACUGGAUAACAAAACAAGAGGGAGAAAAGGUUGGCAGUGGGCUAAUGAAAGCCAAUGCCUGGCAUCAUCGUGCCGAUGCAGUAUCUUCUUUUGUUGCUCUCAUAGGGGUUGGUGGUUCUAUCCUUGGAGUGAGGAUCCUGGAUCCACUUGCUGGGCUUGCUGUUGCAGGCAUGAUCAUGAAGGCUGGACUUGAAACUGGAUAUCAG